rnacentral:tRNA from 1 species
GGGGGAUUAGCUCAUCCGGGAGAGCGCCUGCUUUGCACGCAGGAGGUGAAGAGUUCGAGUCUCUUAUCCUCCA